UACCAGAUACGAGGAGAUGUGUUCAUUUGC
rnacentral:piRNA from 1 species